rnacentral:rRNA from 1 species
UCCGUAGGUGAACCUGCGGAAGGAUCAUUACCAAUUCAACGGUGUGGUCGCGGCCUCCGGGGGCUCCCCCCGGGCGGUAGAGGUAACACUCUUACGCGCCACAUGUCUGAAUCCUUUUUUUACGAGCACCUUUCGUUCUCCUUCGGUGGGGCAACCUGCCGUUGGAACUUAUCAAAACCUUUUUUGCAUCUAGCAUUACCUGUUCAGAUACAAACAAUCGUUACAACUUUCAACAAUGGAUCUCUUGGCUCUGGCAUCGAUGAAGAACGCAGCGAAAUGCGAUAAGUAGUGUGAAUUGCAGAAUUCAGUGAAUCAUCGAAUCUUUGAACGCACAUUGCGCCCCUUGGUAUUCCAUGGGGCAUGCCUGUUCGAGCGUCAUCUACACCCUCAAGCUCUGCUUGGUGUUGGGCGUCUGUCCCGCCUCUGCGCGUGGACUCGCCCCAAAUUCAUUGGCAGCGGUCUUUGCCUCCUCUCGCGCAGCACAUUGCGCUUUAGAGGGGUGUGGGCCGCGUCCACGAAGCAACAUUAUCGUCUUUGACCUCGGAUCAGGUAGGGAUACCCGCUGAACUUAAGCAUAUCAAUAAGCGGAGGA